rnacentral:rRNA from 1 species
GACGAACGCUGGCGGCGUGCCUAAUACAUGCAAGUAGAACGCAGUUGCGAACGGGUGAGUAACGCUUAGGUAACUGCCUGUAAGAGGGGGAUAACUAUUGGAAACGAUAGCUAAUACCGCAUACUAGUAGCUGGACCUGCGUUGUGUUAGCUAGUAGGUAGGGUAAUGGCCUACCUAGGCGACGAUACAUUGCCGACCUGGGAGGGGGGACGGGCAAACUGGGAAUGAGACACGGCCCAGACCUCUACGGGAGGCAGCAGUAGGGAAACUUCGGCAAUGGGGGGAACCCUGACCGAGCAACGCCGCGGGAUUGAAGAAGGUUGUCGGAUUGGAAAGCUCUGUUGUUAAGGAAGCGGUACUUAACCAGAAAGGGACGGCUAACUACGUGCCAGCAGCCGCGGUAAUUC